UGCGGGAGGCAGGUGUUUUCUCGCUCCGGUACCCCGCGGAGAAACGACGAAACCUUGGGAGGUGAAGCCUUGGCGCUGCGAGACCAGCCGGCGUGCGUAACGUUGACGCAUGCGUCGCCAGUCCGGCCUACAGGGCGCGUGCGCAGUGUGACUGUCAGGGUUCCCGGGCUGCUGUCGGCCGGCGUUCGGCGGCGGCGGGACCCGGAGUUGGGCACCGGCUCCUGGUACUGCGAGGGCGGGUCCCGGCAAACUUCCCGGCCACCCGGCGCGCCACCUCCCGCCUCUGCGGCUGGGGGCGCCGCGGACCCAAAGGAGCGACCACCCCGGGAAGCAGCCCCGGGAGCGGAAGUGGAGAAUGGCCCUCUGGAGUGGGGAGAGCGAGUGAAGCUCAGUCUCUCCCGGCAGUGGGGCCCCAGGUGGGCGUGAGCGAAGGAUUUUAGUGAAUGUGGAAAUGCCUCCAUUUUGCCUUCCUCCAGAAAUUUGUCUAAAUAAAGCUUCCACCAGUAGAAAAAAAUGAUCUAAGAGACAGGGUCUCCCCAACGCUGGAGUGUAGUGG